AAGCACGCGUGCAUCCACUCUGCAGCGACCGCAUCCGUCACAAAUCCAUCUCUCUAUACGUGCGUGUGUGUGUGUGUGUGUGUGUGUGUGUGUGUGCGUGUGCGUGUCUUGCGUUUUCGUUCGUGUUCGGUGUUCUGGCUCGUGCACGCCGACAAAGCACUCGAGCGGCAGCGUGAGAUCAUCGCCGUCAUCGUCAUCGUCCAUCUCCUCCAUCCACGGAUCACCUCCUCGACUCUCUUCUCAUUGCACCAAUGGGCACUUGCCCGUCCAUCUCUCAGUCCGAGGUCGGUAUCGUCGAGACUUGUGGCCGCUUCUCCUACACUGCCGACCCCGGCAUCCACUGCCUGUGGUGCGGCUCCAUCCUCGUUCGCCGCAUUACUCUUCGCCUGCAGGAGUACGAGCUGAAGGUGGAGUCGAAAACAAAGGACAACGUGUUUGUGACCCUAUCGCUCGUCAUACAGUACCAAGUGGCCCCUGACAAGCUCGCCGAGGUGUACUACGCAUGCGACUCGUCGCUGGAGUGCAUGCGGGACUACGUCUUGAACUCGAUUCGUGCGAAGAUUCCUCUGUACAAGCUGGAGGCGCUGUACGUCGAGCGCGGCACCAUCUCGCAGCAGCUGAAGGAUGAGGUUGACGCAAUCAUCAACACCUAUGGCAUCGAGAUCGUGUCCGCCCUCAUCUCCGACAUUGACCCUGGCGCGGAGAUCACGAAGGCGAUGAACGAGGUGCAGAAGUUUCAGCGGCUGCGCGUCGCCUCCGUGGACGCUGCGGAGACAGAAAAGCUGAAGCGCGUGCGUGCUGCUGAGGCUCGGUGCGAGGCGCGUCGUCUCUCCGGUGAGGGUCUCGCCGAGCAGCGCAAGGCCAUCGUCGCUGGUCUGAUGCAGUCCAUCGAGGACGUGCAGAGUGAGGUGCGCGACUUGUCCUCCAACGACGCAACGAACAUGCUGCUAAUGAACCAGUACUACGACACGCUGCAAGCCAUCGCCGCAAACAGCAGUUCAAGUGUCAUUAUGUUGGAGUCGAAUGGCGGGCUGGAGAAGGUGGCGGCGCAGCUGCGCCAGGGCGUGACGCACAUGAUGCGGUGAGAGCGAACGAGGGGGAAAACACGGCUGUGAGCUCACGCAGCAGUCCUGCCAUCUUCGGGGCAUCUGCACACACGCACGCCACAUCUCUUUCUCUUUCUUCGCUUUCAAAGUCAGCGCCCCGCUGUCUGAGCUCUUGGAAGCUCGCACGCUCGCGCAUUUUCUCUUUUCCUUCUUUCGAGUGCGAUGCGUCGCGUGUUUUUUGCUUUGCUGAUGUUUUUUUCGUGGGUUGUUGGCGCACCUCUGCAUGUGCGUCUGUCUGCCGGAGAAGGGGGCGAGGAGGAAGGAGGGGGUUGCGCUGUAAAGCUCGCGUAUUACGUAUCCUGCCGCUGUCUCGCCCUCUGUCUGUGUGUGCGUGUGCAAUUCUUGUUGCUCUAUGGAUGCACAUAUGUGAAGAGUCGACAAUAAGGAGAGGAGCGGCACCUCUGCGCCUGCGUCCAACGGAUCGCCUCUUUCGUGGUCGUCGUCUGCGGGGGCGUGUACGGCUGUUCUUGUUGUUGUCGCUCUUGUUGUUGCGUUCUUUUGCCUCGCUUAGACUAUGCAUCCUUGCCUCCGCUCACCCUGGCGCGCCAGCCCGCAUGCGUUGCUUGGCGUGGGUGUGUGCAUCCCUGUCUGCGCGCCUUCGCCUUGAGCUCCGCCUUGUGUCGCUCUUCUCCUGAUUGGUUGCAUCGCGGCAGCAUCACCGCCGACGUGUCGGCACACACACAAACACGAGCAGGCAGGCUCACCACUAUGAAGGCUAGGAAGCGAUUUAGCGAAAAAGAAAAGGCGAGGAAGGCUGGUGCGCCACGCAUAGACUUAGACACGCGCCCAUCACGCGCGUGCUAACGCAUAUCGCUCGCCACCACCACCACCCCCUUUUUGUGUGUGUUUGGUUGCCAUGACGCUGCUCGAAUCAUACACGUUGUUGUUCUUGUCGUGCCUGCUCCCAUCGCUCCACCCUUGGGCAUGCGCUGGGCAGAGGAUGGGCAUGUCCAGUUCCUUUCUACAUACAUAUACAGGCACAUACACAUAUGCGUAUAUAUAUAUAUACAUGUAUACAUAUUCUUUCGACGAGGUGCGAUUCUUCCGCUCACGCACGCACGCAGACACGCAAGCCGCCUCAUAUUCGUAUUUAUAUCUCUGUUCAUUGUAUCGGUAUGGCUGCCCGUGUGACUGCGUGGCUUCCCCCACCCACCUCACCCCAGACAACGGAACGGAAACCAAAAAAAAAAUGCCAAGCUUUCGUGUGGAUACGAAAGGCGAUCGAUAUGGAGAGGGAAAAAGGGGGAGGCGGGGCGGGCCUUUCCGUUGACUCCGUUCCGCAGAUGACGGCGGCACGCGGCGCCCCCUCCUCCGGUGAAGCGCCCGCUUCCCAAAGCUGUCGAAGAACACAACGUGAGCGUGUAAGGAG
rnacentral:misc_RNA from 1 species